GCUGUUUGGAUACAAACGUACCUCUAAGCUGUCCAAGCAAUCCAAACACAUUUCUACUUCCAAUUUUGGCUAGAUUUAGUUUAUUUUAUUUUCCUAUUUCAAUAAAGAUUAGUUAUUUAAGUUUCCUACUACAUCUAGGAUUUUGUUUUUCCUAUUUUAUUUAGAUUUUCUAUUAUAUUUAUGUUUAUCUAAAAUUCCUAGAUACCUUUAUUUGUCAUUCCUAAUUAGUUUACAACUAGUAAAUUUAUUCCUACUUAGAUUAAGAUUUAAAACUCUAUAAAUAUCCAUGUACUCUUGUAUUUUAUAGAUGAUGAGAUUUUAAUAGACUUUGAUAAUUUUCUCUUCAAUAAAGUUAUUUUUUGUUUUAUUUUUCUUUAACCUUUCUAUUAAAUCUUGUGUUCUUAAUGUCUUAGAUUAAAUUUUAUUUAUUUUCAAGUGUUUGAUUAAGUGUCAAUCUUUUUUCACACUACAUACUGCAUCAAUUUUUAUGUAAUUGAGUUAUAGU
rnacentral:misc_RNA from 1 species